AGAAACUAUACCAUAGCUAGAAACUGCUGUCACACUGUUAAGAAGUUAACAGUACGCGUACGCGCGUAACUCACUCAAGGCUGUUGUGGUUAGACAAAUGAUCAAAACGCAAAUUUUUAGCAUUUACUAAAAAUGUACUAAAAAAUGCAACAAGUCUUAUCAUCGUUCUGAAUCGAUACUUACUUUAACGGCAACUUUUACAAAAAUAUGCGUAUCGAUGUAUUUACUUUGGUGCGCAGACAGCUGUAAUCAAACAUAUCAAUAGGAAAGUUAUAUUCAUGAUAUUCUUAUGCUGAGACUCUCCUACUGACGCUAUAAUUACAGUGAAAAUUUUACAUGUAGAGUGCAUCGAUAGAUCGAUAAGAUACCAAAGAUCGUAUUGCUGGCUCGCCCUUACAAACACCAAUGCUGCCAGCCUAGC